GGCGCCUAAGCACGUUGUGUAGCGGCGCGGCGCCGGGGCGCCCUCGCCGGCACCAUGGCCCGAAAUGCAGAAAAAGCCAUGACUGCCCUAGCGAGAUUCCGGCAAGCUCAGCUGGAAGAGGGAAAGGUCAAGGAACGGAGACCUUUCCUUGCUUCCGAGUGCACAGAACUGCCAAAAGCAGAGAAGUGGAGACGGCAGAUCAUUGGAGAGAUCUCAAAAAAAGUUGCUCAGAUUCAGAAUGCAUACAGGGAAGCAGAGGCAGGCGGAUCACCAGUUUGGCCUGGUCUGCAAAGGGAGUUCUUGGACAGCUAGGACUACACAGAGAGAAACUAUGUCUCAAAAAACAAGACAAAGAAAAUAAAACAAAGAAACAAAAAAGAAAAAAAGAAAAGAAAACCAAUCAGACAGAUAACUGCAUAGGGCUGGGGAGCCUGCCCUUAGGAACACUUGCUGCCCUGAUCUUCCAGAGAAGCUGUGCUUGGUUACCUGUCUCCAGUUGAAGUUGCUCAUACCCAGCCUUAACGCCAGCUCCUGGAGAUCCAAGGUCCUUCUGAUCUGCUGCUAUGCACACACAGGUGUUAGACACACAUACAUAAAAGUGGAAAGCCCACCGGGAAAACACAGGAGUAUUUACACAGUAUGUGUCUUAUUAGGUGGUACUGGGGAUUGAACCUAGGGUCUUUACAUUUGAUCUUCCACAAAUGAGACAUACUCCAGCCAACUUGUGUGUAAACCUAACAGAUAUAUUCAGUUUGUCUGCUGAAAACAAUAAAAUAUUGCUGAAAGGAGC
rnacentral:lncRNA from 1 species